GAUGAACGCUGGCGGCGUGCUUAACACAUGCAAGUCGAACGAUGAAGCCCAGCUUGCUGGGUGGAUUAGUGGCGAACGGGUGAGUAACACGUGAGUAACCUGCCCUUAACUCUGGGAUAAGCCUGGGAAACUGGGUCUAAUACCGGAUAGGAGCGUCCACCGCAUGGUGGGUGUUGGAAAGAUUUAUCGUUUUUGGAUGGACUCGCGGCCUAUCAGCUUGUUGGUGAGGUAAUGGCUCACCAAGGCGACGACGGGUAGCCGGCCUGAGAGGGUGACCGGCCACACUGGGACUGAGACACGGCCCAGACUCCUACGGGAGGCAGCAGUGGGGAAUAUUGCACAAUGGGCGCAAGCCUGAUGCAGCGACGCCGCGUGAGGGAUGACGGCCUUCGGGUUGUAAACCUCUUUCAGUAGGGAAGAAGCGAAAGUGACGGUACCUGCAGAAGAAGCACCGGCUAACUACGUG
rnacentral:rRNA from 1 species